CACUCAAUGAGAAAACAACGCCGCGGCCGGCCGGGCUCUCCUGCCUUCGCGCGGAGCCGCUCCAAGGGUUAAGCUCCCCUCUGCAAAGUUUCGGGGGAAGCUGCGGCAGCCCCCGGCUUGUCCUGCCCCGGCUGGCGGCUGCUGCUGGGUUUGAGGGGGGUUGUUUUGUUUGGUUUUUCUUUUUUUCUAAGCCAGCACCGGAUCAGCGCGCAAAGCCGCCGCCGAGCACCCUGGGGCAGCGCUGCGAGCCGGCGGAGGGACAAAGCUCUCGCCCGGCCCGCGGCCACCCUGGAGGAAUUCCGCUCUUGAUCUAAAGCCUGUUAGAGCAAACUGUUUCAAACCAAGUAGGAGAUUAACUCUCCCAGCAAGGUACGCACUGACGUCACCCUUAGCCUCCAGCCAGCAAUCUGCCCCCGACCUCAGCAUCACCAUCAACAUCAAAACAGCAUCAGCCAUGGCAGGCUUCAAGACAGCUGGCCUUGCAGAACUCUGACCAAGAUAAGGAGUCCCAAACACAGUGCUGCCAAAGACAAUAGAGGGGAACACCACAUAAAUAUAUGAGGUGUGAAUGACUAAUUUGAAGCGCUUCCUUUCUACUCUCACAAAAUGCAUUAAACAAAAACAUGCCUCACCAGUUAUGGAACUCAAGUGUUCACACCUUCUCAUCCUGUGUCCAUGACACUCCUGCUUAGGAUUUAGUCUUGCACUGUCUUCUAUGUAGGUUGAUCUCUAUACUUCUACUAAAUGCAAUAUGGUCUUUUUUAAAAGAAUGAGAUUACUUAUAAACUCUAAAUUGAGCAUAUGCCUAAAUCUUUGCAUACACAAGGAUCCUCUGGACUGGGAUCUUGGCUGGAAUUUUCAAGAGAGGCUAGAGGAACAAAAUUCAGAAGAUGGUAAACGGCCUCCCUUAAUUUGAAAAUCCCAGUACUGU